UAAAUCAAAUAUAUAACUCCUGAAGGUACUCUGUAAAUGUCAUGUUUCCCAUACAUCUCUCUUCUCUUUCCUUCAAAAUUUACUGGUUUUUCUCUUCUGGCUUUCUUGAAUUAUUUCGUUUCCUUUUUUCUUUUAAAUGGCAGCAGCAUUGCCUAUACCUAAACAGAGAUGAUAUCCAAAGUCUGCAAAUAUGACGAACCGCCAUUGUUGUCGAAAUGCCAUGCAAGUUUCAUUCUUCAGACGAGAUUCUUCCAAAUGGGUUUGUUGAUACUCUCGUACUCUCGUCCUUUUAUUUUUUAGCCAAUAUUUAUUUUAAUUUCUUAUUUUUGUAAUUGGGUUCCACAUUUCUGCCUGAGGAUUCCCCAGCGUGAUCGAAUCAUAAUGAUGGCGAUUAGAGGGACAAAAUGGGACAAAAAAGUUUACAAAAAUUUAGAGAGAUCCAUAUACCAAAUGUGGAGGUAUGAAUAGAAGCACUCAAAAAAAAAAAAAAAAAAACGAUGAGCAACCGAAGGAUGAUCUGAGUUUGUUUCUGUCCCCUCCACGCGAAAUCCUAAAUGAUCAGCACAAAACGAUGAGCAACCGACGAUUAGCUACCGGGUAUGGUGAUUCCAGUGAUGUUGGAGCAAUAUUUGUGCACUCUCCUCCAACGAAAGCUCGAGGACCAGCUCCCUGCCAUUAUCACAGCCCACCAACAACUUCCAUUGCACCUCUCCAACUGACGCACAAUCAAAACUUUGGGUUUAUUAGAUUCAUGAAGAAGUAUUUGAAGUGCUUUAGGGGUUCUGCACCUGUAACUUGACAAUUGGGACUGACAGGCGCACUGGAUUGAAUGGACCAGAGGGAGUCAUUACUCAUGAUUAUUGAACGGCUAUACAUGCAGUUUUUGUUAUGUUAUUAAUUGAAAUACAAGCUGCUAGGAUUUGGAUGGUGAACAUACUGUGGUCUGUUGACGACUUUUAAUGUAUUUCAAUGAGAUGUCCUUUUGGUUAAAUGAACCAAUUUAUCAACAUCCUGAGUGUUUGCUUCCA